rnacentral:rRNA from 1 species
GCCUUAGUACGGCGAGUGAGCGGCAAAAGCUCAAAUUUGAAAUCUGGCACCUUCGGUGUCCGAGUUGUAAUUUGAAGAAGGUAACUUUGGAGUUGGCUCUUGUCUAUGUUCCUUGGAACAGGACGUCACAGAGGGUGAGAAUCCCGUGCGAUGAGAUGCCCAAUUCUAUGUAAAGUGCUUUCGAAGAGUCGAGUUGUUUGGGAAUGCAGCUCUAAGUGGGUGGUAAAUUCCAUCUAAAGCUAAAUAUUGGCGAGAGACCGAUAGCGAACAAGUACAGUGAUGGAAAGAUGAAAAGAACUUUGAAAAGAGAGUGAAAAAGUACGUGAAAUUGUUGAAAGGGAAGGGCUUGAGAUCAGACUUGGUAUUUUGCGAUCCUUUCCUUCUUGGUUGGGUUCCUCGCAGCUUACUGGGCCAGCAUCGGUUUGGAUGGUAGGAUAAUGACUAAGGAAUGUGGCUCUACUUCGGUGGAGUGUUAUAGCCUUGGUUGAUACUGCCUGUCUAGACCGAGGACUGCGUCUUUUGACUAGGAUGUUGGCAUAAUGAUCUUAAGCCACCCGUCUU